AGUGAACGCUGGCGGUAGGCCUAACACAUGCAAGUCGAACGGCAGCACAGUAAGAGCUUGCUCUUACGGGUGGCGAGUGGCGGACGGGUGAGGAAUACAUCGGAAUCUACUUUUUCGUGGGGGAUAACGUAGGGAAACUUACGCUAAUACCGCAUACGACCUACGGGUGAAAGCAGGGGAUCUUCGGACCUUGCGCGAUUGAAUGAGCCGAUGUCGGAUUAGCUAGUUGGCGGGGUAAAGGCCCACCAAGGCGACGAUCCGUAGCUGGACUGAGAGGAUGAUCAGCCACACUGGAACUGAGACACGGUCCAGACUCCUACGGGAGGCAGCAGUGGGGAAUAUUGGACAAUGGGCGCAAGCCUGAUCCAGCCAUACCGCGUGGGUGAAGAGGGCCUUCGGGUUGUAAAGCCCUUUUGUUGGGAAAGAAAAGCAGCAGGUUAAUACCCCGCUGUUCUGACGGUACCCAAAGAAUAAGCACCGGCUAACUUCGUG
rnacentral:rRNA from 1 species